UACGUAGGGGGCAAGCGUUGUCCGGAAUCAUUGGGCGUAAAGAGCGUGUAGGCGGUCCUGUCAGUCGGUUGUGAAAGUCAAGGGCUCAACCCUUGAAUGCCGGCCGAUACUGCCGGGCUAGAGUCCGGAAGAGGUGAGUGGAAUUCCUGGUGUAGCGGUGAAAUGCGCAGAUAUCAGGAGGAACACCGAUGGCGAAGGCGGCUUCCUGGACCGACACUGACGCUGAGGCGCGAAAGCUAGGGGAGCAAACGGG
rnacentral:rRNA from 1 species